AGACCUCCACGCGAAUGGCUGGGCGAGCUCAACGCUCCCGUCAGUCUGGAAGAAUCCUCGCGUGGAUUCUGCAGUGGUUACGGAUUGGGGAACCAAAGCUGUCGCUCUUGUUUGAUCCCACGUGGCACGUGCCCCAAAUCGGAGUCCCUUAUGGAUAAAGUGAAGGAAGCCAUGGGGAGGAGUGAAUUAGCGAGGAGGAGAUUAGAUUGCCUAAAGUUCCCAAGGGAACACGUACGUGACUUUUGGGGGAGAUCAAAUGGCCAUAAGGCGGCGUGCGCUUUUGAUAAUAGCAUGUGUAUUUGAGAUGCACGGUGCUGUUGAACUCGAUACUGAAGAGUUUGGUGUUGCUGAACAUCCUAAAUUCUGUGUGAUUUGUCAUGGGCUGCUUCUGUAUAUAAAUUGUUAUUCAGACAAGAUUAAUCCCGGAACUAUUAGAACCACGUCAUUCAGCAA